CUGCAACCUCCUCCUCCUGGGUUCAAAUGAUUCUCCCGCCUCAGCCUCCCAAGUAGUUGAGAUUACAGGCAUAUGCCACCACAACAGGCUACUUUUGUGUUUUUUUUGUUGUUGGUGGUGGUGGUGGUGGUUUCUCUUUUUUUUUGUAUUUUUAGUACAGACAGGGUUUCAUCACGUUGGCCAGGCUAAUCUUGAACUCUUGACCUCAGGUGAGCCACUUUGCCCAGCCUCAAUUCACUUUUUUUAAAAUCAAGUUGCAUACUAUCUGAAAUAAUGACAUACACUUUUCUUGCCUUCUUAUCAUUGGAAUCUGCCGAUUUGUGUUAGAUGGAGAAGGUAUGGAACAUACAGAUAAAGACAGCAGAUGGUAAAUUGCUACCCUCUUCGUGACGACCUUUCCUGCAAACUCUGCAAGACUUCAUGCCCCUCAUUCCUAAGGGCACAGAAGCAAAAUUCAACAGAAGAACAUGUGGUGGCCAUUCACGGGUGAGUGCUCCUGGCAUUCUGAGACCUCGUCUACCAUCCUAAAGAUACAGUCCACGGUGAGUGCUCCUGGCAUUCUGAGACCUCGUCUACCAUCCUAAAGAUAAAGUCCACGGUGAGUGAGCCUGGCAUUCCGAGACCUCGUCUACCAUCCUAAAGAUAAAGUCCACGGUGAGUGAGCCUGGCAUUCUGAGACCUCGUCUACCAUCCUAAAGGUAAAGUCCACGGUGAGUGAGCCUGGCAUUCUGAGACCUCGUCUACCAUCCUAAAGAUACAGUCCACGGUGAGUGCUCCUGGCAUUCUGAGACCUCGUCUACCAUCCUAAAGAUACAGUCCACGGUGAGUGCUCCUGGCAUUCUGAGACCUCGUCUACCAUCCUAAAGGUAAAGUCCACGGUGAGUGCGCCUGGCAUUCUGAGACCUCGUCUACCAUCCUAAAGAUAAUGUCCACGGUGAGUGAGCCUGGCAUUCUGAGACCUCGUCUACCAUCCUAAAGAUAAAGUCUGCAGUGAGGGCACCUAGGAUUCUGAGACCAUGUCUACCACCCUAAAGAUAAAGUCCACGGUGAGUGAGCCUGGGAUUCUGAGACCACAUCUGCCAUCCUAAAGAUAAUGUCCAUGGUGAGUGCGCCUAGCAUUCUGAGACUACAUCCACCAUCCUAAAGAUAACGUCCUACCUCAUUCUUGAUUUCUAUGUAAUGCCCUCACACUUUAUCUUCAUCUAAUAAUCAGUAAAUUUUAAAUAGAAUUAAAUUUCAUUGAGGAACAAUCUUCAGAACUAAAACAAAAAAUGUAAUCUUUCUCCUUGUGUCUUAUGGCUUAGAAUGUUGGAAAAUGCUUUGAGCACAAUUUAAUGAGAAGCAUGAGGCACUCUAGAGGAUUUCAGAAGAAAAGUUUAUAUUUAGAAAUGCAAAAUGUUUCCUUUAUUUUGGAGUGUAGAAGGGACUCAGCAAUUACAAUGGGCGUUUGAAUGCUGUUGUCAGCCAACUCCUGUGUGUUCCAUGAAGAAGACUUGGGGCUAAUGAGAACAUUUGUUUUCAGAACAGAAUCCACUAAAUGGUUUGAAAGAGCCAUUUCCCCUGACAGUUGUGAAAGUGGAAGCUGAUUGGUAGAAAUUUUCCUCUGGCCUCCUACUUAUCACCUAGCCAGAGCGUUUACCGUUAUGUCUGCCUUUACUUUCAACAUAAGGAGUUUAGGUUUGUUUUCUUUUUCUGCAUCAGAGACAGAAGCUGUGAGAGGCAAUUGAGCAACUUCAUGCUCGACAGCCUGGGCUGCCAGGGAGCUGCAUUGGCACUUCUGCAAGGAACUGGGGCACACGCAGCUGGACCUCAACAUUAAUUCUUCAAUAAUCCAUGACACGCCUAUGAAACUUUAAUGGCGAGUUCGAAAGUAAUGGCAUGGCUGCCAUGUCCCCUGAUUGUUCAUAGAGCAAGUUGCCUGGAAAUAUUGUGGACGCUCCGUUGGAACCCACCAUCACCGGCUGAAAGGAACGCGAAAGAUGAGUUUAGAAAAUGCUGUACUGUCUGCUAGUCACUGAGAACAAAGCAGAAACAUCACCUGGAAAGCACUAAAGUUAAUGAAAACAUGACAUGUGUGGCCAUAAUCAUUUAAUUUUCUGUCCUCCAUCCCCCACUCACCUUAAAUACAAAUAUCACAAGGUCUUUAGACUGUUUGCACAUUUGGAUAGUUUCGAUAGAGAAGGAAAAGGAAUAGGCACAUUCUGAGUCGUUCCAGAAAUAAGAAAUAGGCCCAACAGCUGCCAUAAAAAGGCAAAUCUGGUCGCUUGUAAGAAAGACUUUUCUAAUAAAGUCAUUUAUGAAGUAAGAAAUGCCUCAUGGGAUAGUAAAUGCUGAGAUCAAAGCUGAAACAAUUGCUAUGGAGGAUGUGGAAUCAGAUGAUGCAGCUCCUGAGGAGCUGGUCCAGAUGACCAGGAGUCCUCCAGCCACUCAGCUGGGCCUGGCUGGCUGAUCGGAACCCAGCGCUGUUUGUUCCAAGGCUACACUGGCCACUGCAGGUGCAACUGCCGAGCCAGGGCUGAUCUGGAGACACCUCUGGGUGCGGCGGGUGGAGGCGGCUCUGCAAAAACAACUCUCUGCCGUUGCCCAGGUAAGAAUUGUGGCAAGGAAAAGGCAAAAGGGCGCCAGAGACUUGCAGGUGGCACCAACUCCCCAUUGAGCUCGGCAGGCACAGCACCUGGUUGAGACUGCUUUCAGGAGCACAAGGAAAUGCUUGCAUGUCUUUCAGAAUCAAAGGAGAGAAUGAACUUCUAAGUCAAAUAAAAUGUUUUAAUAUGUAAUAUUAAUAUAUUUGUGUUUAUACCAAUGCAGCUGAAAAAUACAAUUUUUUAUUUGUAUUUUAUUUGUUUUAUGGAGGGAGGGAUCCAUGAGAGCAGAAGCCUCAAGUGUGAAGGAGUACUGCCCUGUCUGCUUGGGGUCUCAGGGGUCUCUGGGGGUCCAGGGGCCCCAGGUCUUGGAGUCUUUGGGUCUCAGAAUCUCAGGGGUCUCUAGGGUCUCAUUAUCUCUAGGUUUUCAGAGUCUCUAGGGUCUUGGGGUCUCCAGGGUCA
rnacentral:lncRNA from 10 species